rnacentral:rRNA from 1 species
AGAGUUUGAUCAUGGCUCAGGACGAACGCUGGCGGCGUGGAUUAGGCAUGCAAGUUGAGCGACAGACAGGCUUCGGCCUGUUAUGGAGCAGCGAACGGGUGAGUAACACGUGAACAACCUGUCCCUACAUUCCGGAUAAUUGGCCGAAAGGCCUUGUAAUACGGGGGAGGACCCUUGGGGAGCAUUCUUCGAGGAGGGAACGAGCAAUCGGUGCAGGGAGGGGUUCGCGGCCUAUCAGUUAGUUGGUGGGGUAACGGCCUACCAAGACGACGACGGGUAGCUGGUCUGAGAGGAUGGUCAGCCACAUUGGAACUGAGACACUGUCCAGACUCCUACGGGAGGCUGCAGUCGAGAAUCUUGGGCAAUGCACGAAAGUGUGACCCAGCGACGCCGCGUGAAGGAUGAAGGCCCUCUGGGUCGUAAACUUCUUUUAUGAGGAAAGAACGGGGAGCAAUCCCCUUGACGGUACCUCAUGAAUAAGCCACGGCUAACUACGUGCCAGCAGCCGCGGUAAUACGUAGGUGGCAAGCGUUGUCCGGAUUUACUGGGCGUAAAGCGUAUGCAGGCGGAUGGUUAAGUAGGAAGUGAAAGGUUGGAGCUCAACUCCGACACUGCUUCCUAUACUGGCUAUCUUGAGUGGCGGAGAGGAAGACGGAACGACACGUGUAGCGGUGAAAUGCGUUGAUAUGUGUCGGAACACCAAUGGCGAAAGCAGUCUUCUGGACGCAAACUGACGCUGAGAUACGAAAGCCAAGGGAGCAAACAGGAUUAGAUACCCCCGUAGUCC